rnacentral:rRNA from 1 species
AGAUUGAACGCUGGCGGCAGGCCUAACACAUGCAAGUCGAGCGGUAGAGAGGUGCUUGCAUCUCUUGAGAGCGGCGGACGGGCGAGUAAUGCCUAGGAAUCUGCCUAGUGGUGGGGGAUAACGUUCGGAAACGGACGCUAAUACCGCAUACGUCCUACGGGAGAAAGCGGGGGACCUUCGGGCCUCGCGCCAUUAGAUGAGCCUAGGUCGGAUUAGCUAGUUGGUGAGGUAAUGGCUCACCAAGGCGACGAUCCGUAACUGGUCUGAGAGGAUGAUCAGUCACACUGGAACUGAGACACGGUCCAGACUCCGUACGGGAGGCAGCAGUGGGGAAUAUGGACAAGUGGGACGAAAGCCUGAUCCAGCCAU